rnacentral:rRNA from 1 species
GACGAACGCUGGCGGCGUGCUUAACACAUGCAAGUCGAACGCUGAAGCUCAGCUUUUGUUGGGUGGAUGAGUGGCGAACGGGUGAGUAACACGUGAGUAACCUGCCCCCUUCUUUGGGAUAACGCCCGGAAACGGGUGCUAAUACUGGAUAUUCACUGGUCUUCGCAUGGGGGUUGGUGGAAAGGGUUUUUCUGGUGGGGGAUGGGCUCGCGGCCUAUCAGCUUGUUGGUGGGGUGAUGGCCUACCAAGGCUUUGACGGGUAGCCGGCCUGAGAGGGUGACCGGUCACAUUGGGACUGUCAUACGGCCCAGACUCGUACGGGAGGCAGCAGUGGGGAAUAUUGCACAAUGGGCGCAAGCCUGAUGCAGCGUCGCCGCGUGAGGGAUUGAGGCCUUCGGGUUGUGAACCUCUUUCGCUCAUGGUCAAGCCGCAACAAUGGUUGUGGUGAGGGUAGUGGGUAAAGAAGCGCCGGCUAACUACGUG